rnacentral:rRNA from 1 species
UACAGAGGUCCCAAGCGUUGUUCGGAUUCACUGGGCGUAAAGGGUGCGUAGGUGGCCAGGUAAGUUCGGUGUGAAAGCUCGGAGCUCAACUCCGAAAUGUCAUUGAAUACUAUCUGGCUUUAUUGAGGGUCGGAGGGGAGACUGGAAUUCUCGGUGUAGCGGUGAAAUGCGUAGAUAUCGAGAGGAACACCUGCGGCGAAGGCGGGUUGCUGGGCUGACACUGACGCUGAAGUGCGAAAGCUAGGGGAGCGAACGGG